GUCCUUAGAGCAAAGUCUGGUCAAAUGCGCAGGACUUAAGAUCCUGUCUCUUAGUGAGUUCGUGGGUUCGAAUCCCAUCCCUCACA
rnacentral:tRNA from 1 species